ACCGCUAUGUUCUGUUUAAAUAUUUCGUAAAGAGCUCCUUGAGUCCAUCCACUUCUCUCCAUCUGCAGGUGAGGAGUACCAGAAAAGUAGCUGCUGAAUCAGAAAGAUGCAAUGGUUCUACUGUUUAUUUCUAUCAAGAAUUUGCCUUCCCUGCUUUGAAAAAUUUAGAACUGUCUUCAGUUUUAUGAAGGAAAUAAUAAUAGGCAGAAGAUGACAGGCAGAAGAGGAGGAGACAAUGUAAUUGUGGAGGCGGAGAUUGGAGUGAUGGGAUCACAGCCAAGGAACGCUGGAGCCACCAGAUAUGCGAGGAGGCAGAGAAUGCAUUCUCCCCCAGAACCUCUGCAGAUGCUUGAUUUGAGCCUAGUAAAACUAGUGCUGUCCUCCUAGCCUCCAGAACUGAGAUGGAGCUGACUGUUAGAUGCCUAGAGCACAGAGAGAAACUCUUGGAGAAGCUUCGAGGUCAAGA